rnacentral:tRNA from 1 species
CGGGUGUAGUUUAGUGGUAAAACUCCAGCCUUCCAAGCUGAUAACGAGGGUUCGAUUCCCUUCACCC